UGUUGCACUGUUGAUCUUGGCUGUUGAGCC
rnacentral:piRNA from 1 species